rnacentral:misc_RNA from 1 species
GAUGAAGAACGUAGCGAAAUGCGAUACUUGGUGUGAAUUGCAGAAUCCCGUGAACCAUCGAGUCUUUGAACGCAAGUUGCGCCCGAAGCCAUUAGGCCGAGGGCACGCCUGCCUGGGCGUCACACGUCGUUGCCCCCCCAUCUACUCCUUCGGGAUUGCGGGGGGCGGAUGAUGGCCUCUCGUGCGCCUCGUCGCGCGGUUGGCCUAAAUGCCAAGUCCUCGGCGACGCACGCCACGACAAUCGGUGGUUGCGAAACCUCGGUUGCCUGUCGUGUGCGGUCGUCGCGCAUCGAGGGCUCGAAAAAAUUGCCGGGCUUCGGCUCGACUUUCAACGCGACCCCAGGUCAGGCGGGGUUACCCGCUGAAUUUAAGCAUAUCAAUAAGCGGGGA